UAAAAGGCAAUGACCGGGAGGAGUAAGUUGGAUGCUGACCAUCCAGGGAGAAAGGGCCGCGGACUGAAAGCCCUUUUAUGGCAGGCCGACUGAAGUUCGCCCGUGAGCUUUCCGCUGAAAGGUAAGUAGGCGGCAACGGAUUCUUCCGUUAGCAAGUAAGAAAGGGAUAACCCUUUCUGCAGAGUGAGCUUUAUGGCUAAGUAGGGUGGUACCGCGGAACUUUAGCUUUCGUCCCUAAA
rnacentral:ncRNA from 1 species